rnacentral:rRNA from 1 species
UACGAAGGGGGCUAGCGUUGUUCGGAAUUACUGGGCGUAAAGCGCGCGCAGGCGGUUCUUCAAGUCAGGGGUGAAAUCCUGGAGCUCAACUCCAGAACUGCCUUUGAUACUGAGGAUCUUGAGUUCGGGAGAGGUGAGUGGAACUGCGAGUGUAGAGGUGAAAUUCGUAGAUAUUCGCAAGAACACCAGUGGCGAAGGCGGCUCACUGGCCCGAUACUGACGCUGAGGCACGAAAGCGUGGGGAGCAAACAGG